CCUUUGUCUGGUGAGAUGAAGUUAGGCUGUGUCAGAUGGGAGCUUGUCCGUGUGUGUGUAUGGGGCGUGUGUGUGUGUGUGGGUGGGUGGGUGUGUGUGUUUGUAUGAGUGUGUGUGUGGAUAGAUGUGUUACAUCACGGAGGUGGUGUAUGGAUACACGUAUGCCUGUACCUACACUGAAAAGGCAAU
rnacentral:lncRNA from 1 species